rnacentral:rRNA from 1 species
AACGAACGCUGGCGGCAUGCCUAACACAUGCAAGUCGAACGAGACCUUCGGGUCUAGUGGCGCACGGGUUCGUAACGCGUGGGAACCUGCCCUUAGGUUCGGCAUAACUCCCCGAAUGGGGUGCUAAUACCGGAUAAUGUCUUCUGACCAAGGAUUUAUCGCCUUUGGAUGGGCCCGCGUUGGAUUAGCUAGUUGGUAGGGUAAAAGCCUACCAAGGCGACGAUCCAUAGCUGGUCUGAGAGGAUGAUCAGCCACACUGGGACUGAGACACGGCCCAGACUCUUACGGGAGGCAGCAGUGGGGAAUAUUGGAAAAUGGGCGGAGGGCUGAUCCAGCAAUGCCGCGUGAGUGAUGAAGGCAUUAGGGUUGUAAAGCUCUUUUACCCGGGAUGAUAAUGACAGUACCGGGAGAAUAAGCCCCGGCUAACUCCGUG